rnacentral:rRNA from 1 species
UACGUAGGGGGCAAGCGUUGUCCGGAUUUAUUGGGCGUAAAGAGCGUGUAGGCGGCCUGGAAGGUCAGCUGUGAAAACUCGAGGCUCAACCUCGAGACGUCGGUUGAAACCACCUGGCUAGAGUCCGGAAGAGGAGAGUGGAAUUCCCGGUGUAGCGGUGAAAUGCGCAGAUAUCGGGAGGAACACCAGUGGCGAAGGCGGCUUCCUGGCCUGUAACUGACGCUGAGACGCGAAAGCGUGGGGAGCGAACCGG